rnacentral:lncRNA from 9 species
GGGGACUCCGUCGGAGGAAAAACAACAGGGCCUGGGAAGGGUGAAGAAGGAUGGAGUGCGACAGAGACGGAGUCCGGGCUGCUGAGCCCCAGCACGUGCUUAAUUAUGCGAGUCACCCGGGAGAGGGAAAGCCACACGGCGGCCGCGAAGGUUCUGCUUCCGCUUUCAGAGGGACCUUCUCGAUGAGUCUGUGGGAGCCCGAGGCACUGGAGGAUCUGUGGGAAUGGAUGUGCCCAGCGCUCCAGGGGGAACAGGACAACCUUUCCGGCUCUGCCGAGAAACCUUCAAAGGGGUGAUCUCUGAGUUCCCAAUUUCAGUAGAUUAACUGUGUGGGAAACGGGGAAAAAAAAAAAAGGUGAAGGGGACCGACCUCCUUUUGUCCUGGGCGCUGGAGUGACUCAGGACCAUAAACCUCGCCUUAGCUCUUGGCCCCCAGGUGGGUCCCUCUCUGUGCCACUUAGCAAUGCUUUCUUAUUUUUAUUUUUAUUUUUGGUCUUUUUGUCUUUUUAGGGCACACCUGUGUCAUGUGGAGGUUCCCAGGCUAGGGGUUGAAUUGGAGCUGCAGCUGCCGGCCUACACCACAGCCACAGUGAUGCAGAAUCCGAGCCACGUCUGCGACCUACACCACAGCUCACGGCAACGCCGGAUCAUUAACCUACUGAGCGAGGCCAGGGAUUGAACAUGCGCCUUCAUGGUUCCUAGUCAGAUUCGUUUCUGCUGCAUGACAGUGGGAACUCCUUACUUUUUUUAAAACCACUGGCAUCACUGUAUAACCUGUUAUGCUUUGUCCUCCCCUCUAGACUCUGGGGUCCCCAGGUGGGGGCUGUGUCACGACCCUGCGUGUUCUCAUUUCACGUGGAGAGGGCGUUGAGCUCGUCCUCGGGGAGCGAGCGACUGAAGGGUGAGUCGUGAGCUAUGACUUACCUUCAGGACCGGCUUUGAGAAUUUGGCAGCACCUGCAGGCUAUAGCUCUUUCAACCACAUUUCUCAGCCUCUGAAAUGCAGCAACUGCCCUGGAAGACUCGAGGUGACUGUGCAAGGAGGAGCUGCAGACGGCGUGCCUUGUGGGUCUGGAGGCAGGACUGGAGCCCCAGAGCAGGUGCGGCCGUAAAAAGAAAAAAAGGUUCCCUGAGGGUGAUGCCUGAUGUGGCCCGCUGUCUGGGGUACAGGCUCCUAGUCCACCCCCAGAGGAAAGAAGAGAAAAGAAGAAAACAAGCCUCUUGGUCCCGCUUCCGCCCUGCUCUGUACUGUCCUCACGGGGUUACUUAG